GCCUGGAUAGCUCAGUCGGUAGAGCAUCAGACUUUUAAUCUGAGGGUUUACAGGGUUCAAGUCCCUGUUUGGGCG